rnacentral:rRNA from 1 species
UUCAGCUCGUGUCGUGAGAUGUUGGGUUAAGUCCCGCAACGAGCGCAACCCUCGCCAUUAGUUGCCAUCAUUUAGUUGGGCACUCUAAUGGGACUGCCGGUGGUAAGCCGGAGGAAGGUGGGGAUGACGUCAAGUCCUCAUGGCCCUUACAGGGUGGGCUACACACGUGCUACAAUGGGCUGCAAAGUA